rnacentral:rRNA from 1 species
GAUGAACGCUGGCGGCGUGCCUAAUACAUGCAAGUCGAGCGAACAGACGAGGAGCUUGCUCCUCUGACGUUAGCGGCGGACGGGUGAGUAACACGUGGAUAACCUACCUAUAAGACUGGGAUAACUUCGGGAAACCGGAGCUAAUACCGGAUAAUAUAUUGAACCGCAUGGUUCAAUAGUUAAAGACGGUUUUGCUGUCACUUAUAGAUGGAUCCGCGCCGCAUUAGCUAGUUGGUAAGGUAACGGCUUACCAAGGCAACGAUGCGUAGCCGACCUGAGAGGGUGAUCGGCCACACUGGAACUGAGACACGGUCCAGACUCCUACGGGAGGCAGCAGUAGGGAAUCGUCCGCAAUGGGCGAAAGCCUGACGGAGCAACGCCGCGUGAGUGAUGAAGGUCUUCGGAUCGUAAAACUCUGUUAUUAGGGAAGAACAAAUGUGUAAGUAACUAUGCACGUCUUGACGGUACCUAAUCAGAAAGCCACGGCUAACUACGUG